AUUCUACUCCCUCCGUUGCACAAUACUACAUGCCUUCUAUUUGUCAAAAUAUAUAUGUAUUUAGACAUGUCUUAGUAUAUAGGUACAUCCAUUUUUGGACAAAUGGUAGUCAAGUAUUUUGAAACGGAGGGAGUGCACA
rnacentral:pre_miRNA from 1 species